CACAUAUUUAACAUGCCAUAUCAUAUUAAAACUUUAUUUUUUAAUAAUAAAAUUUAUAUAACUCAUAGACCUUAUACCUAUGUAACCAACCCAUAAUAAAAUGGGUCUACUAUUAUAAAUGUUUCCGAAUUUGCUGCAUCUUGAUCUGAACCCUUGAAUCUAUCUUCAAUCUUGUUCAAUCGUCGGCUCUGAUAUCAUUUGUUGGGAUCAAAAUAUUAUGAUUCAUGCGGAAGCUAAUAUGGUAAACCUUAACGACGAUAAAUCAUAUGACAAAGAAAAAUAUAUUAAAUCAGGCACAAUAAUUUAUUAUGAUUUGGUCAAUCGACAUACAUAUGAUUCAUCACUAAUAUCAAAGGAGAAAAUAAAAAAUUUGAGAGAAUAGUCUCCCCUAAACAAAACUUUCUAAAAGGUUACAUUGUGGAGGUUGUUGUUGUUGUGAGAAGCAUAGAUCCUCAAUUUAGGAUGUCGAAGACUUUUCCUACGAGAAAAUGAUAAGACAUAUGAAUGAAAUUUAUUCCUUUUAGAAGUCUUUAUCCCUUCAUUCGAAAAAGAGAGUCCUAAUAGAUUAAAAAUUCACUGCAAAACUCUAACAAAGAUUGGAUUCAAAAUAUAUAUUGAAGUAUUAAUGACUUCACACAUACAUAUAUUCCAUGUAAAACAUUAGGGGUUCAUUUGACCUCAUAUUGCAUCCAUAUCUCUGUCUUUAUGCCUUUAUUAUUGGCAGAUUCUAAAGAAUAUGAAAAAGGGAAAUAUAUAAGUUACCCCUAAAUGGCUAAAUAUAUCCGCAAAGUCAUUUACGUAUACCUUAAUUUCAUGAGUGAUCUCUUAUCCCUAUUCUUGUGGUGGGCCAUGUUUUACAGGUAUGCCACGUGUCAAAUGCGGCUUUAUUUUAUUUUAGGACUAGUUAAAUUAUCCGUGUUUUAUAAAAUUAAAAAAUAUUAAAUUGGAUUAAAUAAAUUGGAGUAAUAAUAAAAAAUGAUAUAAGUGAAAGAAAUAGAUUUUUUUUUUACGGCAAGUAAUGGUAGGAAAGAGGACGUAAAGAAGAAAAGAAAAAAUAGAGAAUAGAUAACUUUUACAUGCAUAUGGAUAAAAUAAUUCUAUAUUAUCUCAUAAAUAUAUAAAAAUUAACAAUUAACAAUAUAAGUAUCUUAAAUAUGAGAAGAGAAAAGAACAUAAAGUGUUACUUCUUGGGCAAUAAAUUAACGUUUUCAUAUUUUGCCCAAAAAGUCGUUAACAUAAUUUUUUGUUCAUUUCUCUUCUCCUAUUUAAAGUACUUACAUUGUUAUUGUUAAUUUUUAAAUCCAAAACAUCUAUUACCACCUACUUGGCAAAGUAUAAAAUUAGAAGAAGUGAGAUUCACUAAUUUUGUAAAAGAAUAUUAACUAAGAUUUUAGAAUUAUUGCUGAUUGCUUAAUGUUACGGAAAGGCAGUGCAAUAUCAAAUGCUUAACUUCAUCAUUCUCUAUAUCAAAAUUGACUGGAAAACGGUAUUUUGUAUAACAUACCUGCACGAUAUCUUCUCCCUUUACACACAAAGUACAUUAAUAAUGUCAUUCUUAUCAGGGAUCCGAAGCCACAGUGGUAAUAAAUAGGUCGAGUCCUAGGCUUUCAUAUUUGGUUUCUGAAGUAUACUUAAGUAUAAAAUUUCAUGCUUCCUAGUUCAUGAAGACCACAUAAUCAUAAUUUAGUGAUGAAUGAAAAUUUUUGGGUAUGAAGACCAUUGUUUUCUUUUUCUGGAUAAGACAUUGUUCACAGACGAAAAAGCGAGAGAACUUCCAAGGCUCGAUCUACGAUUGCGUCUCAUUGUUUGGUAACAAAUAGAAUGAGCCAAAAACUAUUGUUUUCAUAGACCAAAAAGCAACAAAUAAAAUGAGCCAAACCUUUGCCAAAAAUUAGUAUGCCGUUACUUUGUCAAAAUUUGCGUCUUCUGGGGAAACCAAAG
rnacentral:lncRNA from 1 species